GUAAAGCGUGUACAUUUUCAUUUUUUUUCCAAAAAGCAAACAUUAAUUGAGUUAAGGACCCAUGCGAUGUCAAAUAAAACUUCUAACAAUAAAUAAUGACCAGUAAGAUACCCUUAUCACAUGGCAUAUUGAUCUAAUGUGUUAAAAAGGCUGCACUGAUUAAUCAAUCAUCAUCGUACUCAUCAUGUGCAUAGUAUUACACCUAUUGCUCGAUGAGUAAAUUGGAGCACAGGUAAAUUGAAUACAUUCCCCAUGUUCUUAUAUAUUGUUAGAGGAAGAAUCAGAGAUAAAUCCCAGGCGUUCUUACUUCAGUGUCCCCUUUUAAACUACAAAACAUUUCUUCUCCAUUUAGGCAGUCUGAGUGUGACAGUUAUGGCUCCUAGAUUCAUGUGCUAACAGCAAAGAAGGAACUUUUUCCUCAUAGAUAAAGUCUCUUUGGUCCUGCCUGUCUCUGGAUCCAUGAGAGGAAGACUCUGAAACUGAAAAUGAUGAAGGUUUGCAGUACAACGAAGACCCCUUAUAAAUAUUACAGACAAAACAAAUAAAUGUUUCAAUAAGUAUAAA